rnacentral:snRNA from 1 species
AUACUUCCCUGGCAGGGGAGAUACCGUGAUCGUGGAGAUGGUUUUCCCAGGGAGACGCUCAUCCAUUGCACUCCAGGUGUUCUGACCCCUGUGAUUUCCCCAAACGCGGAAGACUCAACUGUGUAUUGAAUUC